AUGUGCUUAUUCACAGAUAAUAGCACAGAAGCAGAGACUUUAUGUCUAAGCAGACCUAGAUUCAGAGCAGACCCGAAGCUGCUUGAAGAAGGCUGGAGGUAUGUUAAGGAGACAAGAGCUGUCAAGAAGCAGGGAUGUCUCUGGAAAGGAACCUGUAAUAUUUUUGUGCUAUGCCAGAGAUUGACUGAAACAACUAUAGAAUCUGAUAGCUUCUUUAGGACCAAGGAGCAAGAUGGUGACAUAAGAAUGCUAUCAAUCUGCUCCCUCUUCUCUACCUCCCUCCAACAAUUACGCUCUUGGAACCCAGUCAUCAUUCUGAGAGAAGCCACAGGAUCUCUAUGA
ensembl:lncRNA